GGCGGACGGUGAGUAACGCGUGAGUAACCUGCCUUUCAGAGGGGGAUAGCGUUUGGAAACGAACGGUAAUACCGCAUGAUAUCAUUGAGCUGCAUGGCUCGAUGAUCAAAGGAGCAAUCCGCUAAUAGAUGGGCUCGCGUCUGAUUAGCUAGUUGGUGGGGCAACGGCCUACCAAGGCGACGAUCAGUAGCCGGACUGAGAGGUUGAACGGCCACAUUGGGACUGAGAUACCGGCCCAGACUCCUACGGGAGGCAGCAGUCGGGAAUAUUGCGCAAUGGAGGAAACUCUGACGCAGUGACGCCGCGUAUAGGAAGUAAGUUUUUCGGAAUGUAAACUAUUGUCGUUAGGGAAGAGAAAGGACGGUACCUAAGGAGGAAGCCCCGGCUAACUAUGUG
rnacentral:rRNA from 1 species